ACCGCGGUCAUACGAUUAACCCAAGCUAACAGGAGUACGGCGUAAAACGUGUUAAAGCACCAUACCAAAUAGGGUUAAAUUCUAACUAAGCUGUAAAAAGCCAUGGUUAAAAUAAAAAUAAAUGACGAAAGUGACCCUACAAUAGCCGACGCACU
rnacentral:rRNA from 1 species